GGUCUGUGAUGAGUUUCGGCAUGUAUUCUGAGUAUAAACUUGAAGAGUGUCAGUUUAGCUCUAGAAUUACUCUGAGACCUG
rfam:Cuculus canorus isolate BGI_N303 unplaced genomic scaffold scaffold49, whole genome shotgun sequence.